UUCCCUGAGUAGCGGCGAGCGAAACGGGAAAAGCCCAAACCAACAAGCUUGCUUGUUGGGGUUGUAGGACUCCAAUAUGGUCGUUCUUUCAGAUAGUCGAAUGACUUGGAAAAGUCAGUCAAAGAGGGUAAAAACCCCGUAGACGAAAUGUGGAAGACACCUAGGAGGAUCCUGAGUACGGCGGAACACGAGAAAUUCCGUCGGAAUCCGGGAGGACCAUCUCCCAAGGCUAAAUACUCCCUAGUGACCGAUAGUGAACCAGUACCGUGAGGGAAAGGUGAAAAGCACCCCGGAAGGGGAGUGAAAUAGAACCUGAAACCGUGUGCCUACAACAAGUCAAAGCCCGUUAAUGGGUGAUGGCGUGCCUUUUGUAGAAUGAACCGGCGAGUUACGAUUGCAUGCGAGGUUAAGUUGAAGAGACGGAGCCGCAGCGAAAGCGAGUCUGAAUAGGGCGUUUGAGUAUGUAGUCGUAGACCCGAAACCAUGUGAUCUACCCAUGUCCAGGUUGAAGGUGCGGUAAAACGCACUGGAGGACCGAACCCACGUACGUUGAAAAGUGCGGGGAUGAGGUGUGGGUAGCGGAGAAAUUCCAAACGAACUUGGAGAUAGCUGGUUCUCUCCGAAAUAGCUUUAGGGCUAGCCUCGGAAUUGAGAAUGAUGGAGGUAGAGCACUGUUUGGACUAGGGGCCCAUCUCGGGUUACCGAAUUCAGAUAAACUCCGAAUGCCAUUCAUUCAUAUCCGGGAGUCAGACUGUGAGUGAUAAGAUCCAUAGUCGAAAGGGAAACAGCCCAGACCACCAGCUAAGGUCCCAAAAUAUAUGUUAAGUGGAAAAGGAUGUGGGGUUGCACAGACAACUAGGAUGUUGGCUUAGAAGCAGCCACCAUUUAAAGAGUGCGUAAUAGCUCACUAGUCGAGUGACCCUGCGCCGAAAAUGUACCGGGGCUAAACAUAUUACCGAAGCUGUGGAGUACACCUUUAGGUGUAUUGGUAGGAGAGCGUUCUAAGGGCGUUGAAGGCAGAUCGUGAGGACUGCUGGAGCGCUUAGAAGUGAGAAUGCCGGUAUGAGUAGCGAAAGACAGGUGAGAAUCCUGUCCACCGAAUGACUAAGGUUUCCUGGGGAAGGCUCGUCCGCCCAGGGUUAGUCGGGACCUAAGCCGAGGCCGAUAGGCGUAGGCGAUGGAUAACAGGUUGAUAUUCCUGUACCCGUUGUUUUUGUUUGAGCAAUGGAGGGACGCAGGAGGCUAAGGAAUGCAGACGAUUGGAAAUGUCUGUCCAAGCAGUAAGUCUGAAGAGGAGUCAAAUGCUUCUUUUCUUAAGGACAA
rnacentral:rRNA from 1 species